CAGUCGAGCGACGGAUAAGGAGCUUGCUCCUUUGAAGUUAGCGGCGGACGGGUGAGUAACACGUGGGUAACCUACCUAUAAGACUGGGAUAACUUCGGGAAACCGGAGCUAAUACCGGAUAACAUUUAGAACCGCAUGGUUCUAAAGUGAAAGAUGGUUUUGCUAUCACUUAUAGAUGGACCCGCGCCGUAUUAGCUAGUUGGUAAGGUAACGGCUUACCAAGGCGACGAUACGUAGCCGACCUGAGAGGGUGAUCGGCCACACUGGAACUGAGACACGGUCCAGACUCCUACGGGAGGCAGCAGUAGGGAAUCUUCCGCAAUGGGCGAAAGCCUGACGGAGCAACGCCGCGUGAGUGAUGAAGGGUUUCGGCUCGUAAAACUCUGUUAUUAGGGAAGAACAAAUGUGUAAGUAACUGUGCACAUCUUGACGGUACCUAAUCAGAAAGCCACGGCUAACUACGUGCCAGCAGCCGCGGUAAUACGUAGGUGGCAAGCGUUAUCCGGAAUUAUUGGGCGUAAAGCGCGCGUAGGCGGUUUCUUAAGUCUGAUGUGAAAGCCCACGGCUCAACCGUGGAGGGUCAUUGGAAACUGGGAAACUUGAGUGCAGAAGAGGAAAGUGGAAUUCCAUGUGUAGCGGUGAAAUGCGCAGAGAUAUGGAGGAACACCAGUGGCGAACGCGACUUUCUGGUCUGUAACUGACGCUGAUGUGCGAAAGCGUGGGGAUCAACAGGAUUAGAUACCCUGGUAGUCCACGCCGUAACGAUGA
rnacentral:rRNA from 1 species